AGAAAAAGUGAAAUUUCUCAAAAACUCGUGUGCUAUAACAAAGGGUGUUUGGCCGGAAUUUGGUGAAACUUGAAAAGAUGGGCAACACCUAAGCUUUUUCAAAAUUUAGGUUUUCGAGGUCAGUAUGAGAAGAAUUGAAGACUCCACUAGCAUGGCGAUUCAAUGAAUUCCACUGAAAGUAACAGUUCCAACACCUUUACCAAACAAAGUUGUCGUGAGUCAUUUCGGCUCGAUUGCGAGUAAAAUGAUAAAGACAACAAGUUUUUGAUGCUAUAAUGGUUCAGUUGACGUUAGAUGAUGUAUAUAAGCACAUACCAACGGAAAAUAACUAGUAUAGCCGCUAAGGGGCUGACUUGACUCGUCGAGGGGCCCACGGUAGAAACCACAUAGGGACCGCAAAAGGGCUGUCUUGACCCUCCUUGGGUGUCCUUGACCCGCCUUGACCUGCUUUGGCUCGCCUUGACCCGACUUAUGCCGCCUUGGCCUGCCUUGACCUGCUUAGGGCCGCCUUGACCCUCCUAGGCCAGCCUAGGGCCACCAAGGGGCCGCCUUAACCCUCUUUGGGCCGCCCUUACCCACCUUAACCCUUCUAGGGCCGCCAAGAGGCAGCCUUAACCCAUCUUGGGCCGCCGACGGGCCGCCUUGACCUGCUAAGGGGCUGCGUUGACCCUCAUAGACCCUCCUAAGGCCGCCUUGACCUGCCUAAGGCCGCUAAGCGACCUCGUUGACCCCAUGGCUGCCUUUACUCGCUAAGGAGCCACCUUCACCUGUCUAAGGCCGCCUUGACCCGUUAAGAGGCUGCCUUCCUUGACCCUCCUAGACCCGUCUAAGACCACCAAGCGGUCGCCUUGACCCGCUUAAGGACCCCAAGGGGCCGCCUUGACCCGUCUAGGGCCGCCAAAACCCGCCUUGGCCCGCCUUAACCCGCCUUGGGUCGACUGAACCCUCCUUGGCACGCCUUGAUCCGCCUCGGGCCGCUUUGACCUGGCCAGGGCAGCCAAGGGGCCGUGUUCACCCUUCUAAGAGUCGUCUUGACCCGCUAAGGGGCUGCCUUGACUCUCUUAGACUCUCCUAGGGUCCCUUGACCUGCCUAGGGCUGCUAAGCGGCCGCAUUGACCCGCCUAAGGCAGACAAGGGGCUGCCUUGACCCGUGAAGGAGCUGCCUUUACCCGUCUAAGGCCGCCAAGGGGUCGCCUUGACCCGCUAAGAGGCCGCCUUGGCCUACCUUGACCCGCCUUGACCUAUCUUGACCCCCUUUGCCCACCUUGACCCGUCUAGGGCCGUCUUGACCCGCCUUGGGUCGCCUUGAACCGCCAAGGCUCGCCUUAGGCUGACUUGACCCUCCUUGGCCCACCUUGAUCCGUCUCAGGCCACCUUGACCCGCUAAGGGGCUGCCUUGAUCCUCCUAGACUCUCCUAGGGCCGCCUUAACCUGCCUAGGGCCACCGAGGGGCCGCCUUGAUCUGGCUAGGGCCACCAAGGGGUCGCGUUCACCCACCUUGACCCGUUAAGAGGCUGUUCUUGACCUAGACUUGCCUAGGGCCGCUUUAGCCAGCCAUGGGCCGCCUUGACCCGCCUAGGGAUGCCAAGAGGCUGCCUUGACCUGCCUAGGGCCACCAAGGGGUCGCGUUCACCCGUCUAGAGCCGCCUUGACCCGCAUUAGCCCGCCUUGACCUAUCUAAGGCCGUCUUAACCCGCCUUGGGCCAACUUGACCCUCCUUUGCCCGCCUUGAUCAGGCUAGGGCUUCUAAGAGGCCGCGUUCACCCGCCUUGACCCGCUAAGGGGCUACCUUGACCCUCCUAGACUCUCCUAGGGUCACCUUCACCUGCCUAGGGCCGCUAAGUGGCCAUAUUGACCCACCUAGGGCAGCUAAGGGGCCACCUUGACCCACCCAGGGUAGCUAAGGGGCCGCCUUGACCCGCUAAGGGGCUGCCUUCCCCCGUCUAAGGCCGCCAAGGGGCCGCCUUANNNNNNNNNNNNNNNNNNNNNNNNNNNNNNNNNNNNNNNNNNNNNNNNNNNNNNNNNNNNNNNNNNNNNNNNNNNNNNNNNNNNNNNNNGACCCAUCCAGGGUCGUCUUAACCCGCCUUGGGUCGCCUUGAACCGCCAAGGCCCGCCUUGAGCCGACUUAACCCUCCUUGACCUGACUAGGGAAGUCAAAGUGACGCGAUCACCCCUCUAAGACCCGCCUUGACCCGCUAAGUGGCUGCUUCGACCCUCCUAGAUUCUCCAAUGGUCGCCUUAACCUGCCUAGGGCCGCUAAGCGGCCGCAUUGACCCGCCUAAGGCAGCUAAGGGGCUGCCUUGACCCACCCAAGGCAGCCAAGGGGUCGCCUUGAACCGCCAAGGCCCGCCUUGGGCCGACUUGACCUUCCUUAGCCCGUCCUUGAUCCGCCUCGGACCGCCAAAGGGCCGCGUUCACCCGCCUUGGGCCGCCUUGAUCCGCUAAGGGGCUGCCUUGACGCUCCUAGACUUUCCUAAGGUCGCCUUGACCUGCCUAAGGCCGUUAAACGGCCAUAUUGACCCGCCUAGGCAGCCAAAAGGCCGCCUUGACCCACUCAGGGCAGCAAGGGGCCGCCUUGGCCCGCUAAAGGGCUGCCUUUACCCGUCUAAGGCCGUCAAGAGGCUGCCUUGACCCGCUAAGAGACCGCCUUGGCCUGCCUUGAACCGCCUUGGCCCAUCUUGACCCGUCUAGGGCCGUCUUGACCCGGCUUGGGUCGCCUUGAACCGCUAAGGCCAGCCUUGGGACGACUUGACCCUCUUUGGCCCGCCUUGACUCGUCUAGGGCCACGAAGGGGCCGUGUUCACCUAUCUAAGACCCGCCUUGGGCCGCCUUGACCAGCUAAGGGGUUGUCUUGAUCCUCUUAGACUCUCCUAAGGUCGACAUGACCUGCCUAGGGCCGUUAAGCAACCGCAUUGCUGCUAAGAGGCCGCUUUCACCCGUCUAAGGCCUCUAAGGAGACGCCUUAACCCGCUAAGAGGCCGCCUUGGCCUGCCUUGGGUUGCUUUGACCCGCCUUGGCCCACCUUGGGCCGCCUUGAACCAUCAUGACCCGCCUUGGCCCACCAUGAGCCGCCUUAACCCUCAUAGGGCCGCCAAGAGGCCGCCUUAACCCAUCUAGGGCCGCAUUGACCUGGCUAGGGCCCCCAAGAGGCCGUCAUGAUCCGUCUAGGGCCGCCUUGGCCCACCUUGACCCGCCUAGGGCAGCUAAGGGGCAGCCUUGACCCGCUAAGGGGCUGCCUUCACCUGUCUAAGGCCGCCAAGGGGCCGCCUUCACCCGCCAAGAGGCUGCCAUGACCCACCUAGAUCAACCCAGGGCCACUUUGACCCUCCUAAGGUCACAAAGUGGCCGCUUUCACCCUCCUUGACCCUUCUAAGGCCGCUAAGAGGGCGCCUUAACCAAUCUAAGGCCACCGAGGGGCUGCCUUGAUCUGGCUAGGGCCGCUAAGGGGUCGCGUUCACCCACCUUGACCGGUUAAGGGGCUGCCGUGACCCUCCUAGAGCCGCCUUGACCCGCCAAGAGGCUGCCUUGACCUGGCUAGGGCCACCAAGGGGUCGCGUUCACCCGUCUAGAGCCGCCUUGACCCGCCUUAACCCGUCUAGGGCCGUCUUGACCCUCCUUGGGUCGCCUUGAACCGCCAAGGCCCGCCUUGGGUCGACUUGACCCUCCUUGGCCUUGAUCCGCCUCGGGCCGGUUGACCCGGCUAGGGCCUCCAAGGGGCUCCGUUCACCCGCAUUGGGCCGCCUUAACCCUCCUAGACUCUCCUAGGGUCGCCGU
rnacentral:lncRNA from 1 species